CAAUAGCGUAUAUUAAAGUUGUUGCGGUUAAAAAGCUCGUAGUUGGAUUUCUGCCGAGGACGUCCGGUCCGCCCUCUGGGUGUGUACAUGGUACGGCCUGGGCAUCUUCUUGGAAAACGUAUCUGCACUUGACUGUGUGGUGCGGUAUCCAGGACUUUUACUUUGAGGAAAUUAGAGUGUUUCAAGCAGGCCUACGCCUUGAAUACAUUAGCAUGGAAUAAUAAGAUAGGACCUCGGUUCUAUUUUGUUGGUUUCUAGAGCUGAGGUAAUGAUUAAUAGGGAUAGUUGGGGGUAUUUAUAUUCCGAUGUCAGAGGUGAAAUUCUUAGAUUUUCGGAAGAUAAACUUAUGCGAAAGCAUUUACCAAGGAUGUUUNCAUUA
rnacentral:rRNA from 1 species